UACGUAGGUGGCAAGCGUUGUUCGGAAUUAUUGGGCGUAAAGGGCGCGUAGGUGGUUUGUUACGUCUGCUGUGAAAACCUAGGGCUUAACCCUGGGCUUGCAGUGGAUACGGGCAGACUAGAGGUAGGUAGGGGAGAAUGGAAUUCCUGGUGUAGCGGUGAAAUGCGCAGAUAUCAGGAGGAACACCGGUGGCGAAGGCGGUUCUCUGGGCCUUACCUGACACUGAGGAGCGAAAGCGUGGGGAGCGAACAGG
rnacentral:rRNA from 1 species